UACGGAAGGGGCAAGCGUUGUUCGGAAUCAUUGGGCGUAAAGGGCGCGUAGGCGGACUCGCAAGUCGGUUGUGAAAUCCCUGGGCUCAACCUAGGAACUGCAUCCGAAACUGCUUGUCUUGAGUAAUGGAGAGGGUGGCGGAAUUCCCGGUGUAGAGGUGAAAUUCGUAGAUAUCGGGAGGAACAUCAGUGGCGAAGGCGGCCACCUGGACAUUUACUGACGCUGAGACGCGAAAGCGUGGGGAGCAAACAGG
rnacentral:misc_RNA from 1 species